rnacentral:misc_RNA from 1 species
UUUCCGUAGGUGAACCUGCGGAAGGAUCAUUAUUGGAUUUUGAAACUUCUGGCUGCUGCUGGCUCUCCUCGGAGGGCAUGUGCACGCUUGUUGUCCAUUAUUUCUCCCACUGUGCACAAAUUGUAGACCUUUCAGUAGGCCUAUGUUGUUUUUCACAAUCUCUGAAUGUAAUAGAAUGGUUUUGAAUCUUGGGAAAUACAAUACAACUUUCAGCAACGGAUCUCUUGGCUCUC